rnacentral:rRNA from 1 species
UCGGGGUACACGAGCGGCGAACGGGUGAGUAACACGUGGGUGAUCUGCCCUGCACUUCGGGAUAAGCCUGGGAAACUGGGUCUAAUACCGGAUAUGACCUCCUAUCGCAUGGUGGGUGGUGGAAAGAUUUAUCGGUGCAGGAUGGGCCCGCGGCCUAUCAGCUUGUUGGUGGGGUAAUGGCCUACCAAGGCGACGACGGGUAGCCGACCUGAGAGGGUGACCGGCCACACUGGGACUGAGACACGGCCCAGACUCCUACGGGAGGCAGCAGUGGGGAAUAUUGCACAAUGGGCGAAAGCCUGAUGCAGCGACGCCGCGUGAGGGAUGACGGCCUUCGGGUUGUAAACCUCUUUCAGCAGGGACGAAGCGCAAGUGACGGUACCUGCAGAAGAAGCACCGGCUAACUACGUGCCAGCAGCCGCGGUAAUACGUAGGGUGCAAGCGUUGUCCGGAAUUACUGGGCGUAAAGAGUUCGUAGGCGGUUUGUCGCGUCGUUUGUGAAAACCAGCAGCUCAACUGCUGGCUUGCAGGCGAUACGGGCAGACUUGAGUACUGCAGGGGAGACUGGAAUUCCUGGUGUAGCGGUGAAAUGCGCAGAUAUCAGGAGGAACACCGGUGGCGAAGGCGGGUCUCUGGGCAGUAACUGACGCUGAGGAACGAAAGCGUGGGUAGCGAACAGGAUUAGAUACCCUGGUAGUCCACGCCGUAAACGGUGGGCGCUAGGUGUGGGUUCCUUCCACGGAAUCCGUGCCGUAGCUAACGCAUUAAGCGCCCCGCCUGGGGAGUACGGCCGCAAGGCUAAAACUCAAAGGAAUUGACG